rnacentral:rRNA from 1 species
AAACCAGCACCUCAAGUGGUCAGGAUGAUUAUUGGGCCUAAAGCAUCCGUAGCCGGCUCUGUAAGUUUUCGGUUAAAUCUGUACGCUCAACGUACAGGCUGCCGGGAAUACUGCAGAGCUAGGGAGUGGGAGAGGUAGACGGUACUCGGGAGGAAGGGGUAAAAUCCUUUGAUCUCUCGAUGACCACCUGUGGCGAAGGCGGUCUACCAGAACACGUCCGACGGUGAGGGAUGAAAGCUGGGGGAGCAAACCGGAUUAGAAACCCGAGUAGUCC